CUGGCUGGGGAUGUGUAGGCACAACUGGGGCUUGUGGAAGGGAGUUAGGAAGCUCUAGUUUGGCCAUCUGUGGGGGAAUUGACAAGAAUUACUCUCUUCUGUGUUCAAAAGGUUUUAAAUCCACCAACUGGAGUAGAAUGAAGACGGACAGGCUUUCGAGGGCACCUCAUGCUCCAGCUUCCCCCAACGUUAACAGAACAACACCUUAAUGCAGCGAGAAGGACUCCAUUAAAGGUUAGUCCUGAUUCCUCUCCGACUUCCUCUUCUUUGCUGCUUUGAGCGUCAACCUCUUGCUGGUGACCCUGGAUUCCUGUUACCAUGCAGUCUUUGCCCCAGUGUGCACAUGGAAUCAGAAGGCUGAGGAGGACUGGCACCAGGCGGCAGGAAGGCAGCAGAGACUGAAUACUCUCUCUAGACAAUCCCUUGGCACUCUUUUUCCUCCCCUGUGACUCAGCCUGUGGAGCCACUCGGCUCUAGAUGCUCUCCUCAAAGCUUCCCUGAGCACACGGACUCCUAUCACAUCCUUCCUCCAGAAAGGGGAGGGGAAGCAGGCUGGCUAAAGAAGAGAAGGGCAGUAAGGAGGUGCACACCGCUUUACACAGAAGGCCGGCGCCGUUCAAUAUUCUUCCAGUUUAUAGCCAUGAAUAAAUGAUGACUGCAGCCGCAGUGCUGUGACAGCAGCGACGGGUUCUGAGGAGCAGGACUGAAACCCAUCUCGACACAAAGUCAACUGCAUCAUUUUUAAGCGGACACGGCUUGGAGCAACUGCAGAUACUUAACAAUUAAUAGUGGUUGGAUGAAAAUGGCUCGCCGCUCUGCCCGCGUAUGACCUGGUUACUUAUAAGCAGACGUGCAAACCAUCCGGGGAACUUAGAAAGUGUGCUCUUUGACCUUCGGGUCUGUCGUGUACCAGCCAGACUUUUACAUGGUGAUGCAUUUGUUUGUAUAAUAUAGAGGGAGGUCGGGUGGGAACAUCCCUUCCAGCUACUUAGGGCGUCAGAGGCCAAAUUCCAAACUGUGAUGAGCAGUUAUCAGAUUCCUGACCCACCCUGUCGAUACAUUCUGGCCACCCCCGCCCCCUUUUAAGGCUAUGCACAGUUAUUUACCCGCUCAGUUUUAUUCUACGACCUCAACCUUCUUGUUUUUACAUCCAUAGGUUUGGUCAUUUACUGAGAUAGAUAUUUGGUCUCUCUGUGAAAAGCCACUUGAUUUUUUAAAAAGAAUUCGGCAUACAAGUAGUGAUUAGAAUGUAUUAUCAACUCCUUAAGUCUGUCUGUCUGCCUGUCUGCCUGUCUGC
rnacentral:sRNA from 1 species